UCAGAAUCAACGCUGGCGGCGUGCCUAACACAUGCAAGUCGAACGAGAAAGCGGGGGCAACUCCGUGAGUAAAGUGGCGACCGGGUGAGUAACACGUGACUAACCUACCCUCUGAUGGGGAAUAACCUCGGGAAACCGGGGCUAAUACCGCAUAACGUCCGCGGGUGCAACUCCUGCGGACCAAAGGAGCAAUUCGUCGGAGGAGGGGGUCGCAGCUGAUUAGCUAGUUGGCGGGGUAACGGCCCACCAAGGCGAUGAUCAGUAGCCGGCCUGAGAGGGCGCACGGCCACACUGGAACUGAAACACGGUCCAGACUCCUACGGGAGGCAGCAGUGGGGAAUUUUGCGCAAUGGGGGAAACCCUGACGCAGCAACGCCGCGUGGAGGAUGAAGUCCCUUGGGACGUAAACUCCUUUCGACCGGGACGAAUGAUGACGGUACCGGUGGAAGAAGCCCCGGCUAACUUCGUGCCAGCAGCCGCGGUAAUACGAGGGGGGCGAGCGUUGUUCGGAAUUAUUGGGCGUAAAGGGCGCGUAGGCGGCGCGGUAAGUCUUCUGUGAAACCUCUGGGCUUAACUCAGAGCCUGCAGG
rnacentral:rRNA from 1 species